UACGAAGGGGGCUAGCGUUGCUCGGAAUCACUGGGCGUAAAGCGCACGUAGGCGGCUUUUUAAGUCAGGGGUGAAAUCCUGGAGCUCAACUCCAGAACUGCCUUUGAUACUGGCGAUCUCGAGUCCGGGAGAGGUGAGUGGAACUGCGAGUGUAGAGGUGAAAUUCGUAGAUAUUCGCAGGAACACCAGUGGCGAAGGCGGCUCACUGGACCACAACUGACGCUGAGGUGCGAAAGCGUGGGGAGCAAACAGGG
rnacentral:rRNA from 1 species